rnacentral:sRNA from 1 species
ACUCAACAGUUAAUUCUUUAAAAAGGGUGAGUUAAAGUUGUAAAAGCGUGCUGCUAAUGGGAAACCAUUUGGGCAGAUACUUGAUCAGCUUGUUAGCCCUAAACAUGUUUUUAAGGAGUUU